AGAGUUUGAUCCUGGCUCAGGAUGAACGCUGGCGGCGUGCUUAACACAUGCAAGUCGAACGAGCCUUCGGGCUAGUGGCGGACGGGUGAGUAACGCGUGGGAAUCUGCCCUCAGGAGGGGGAUAACGGCCGGAAACGGCCGCUAAUACCCCAUAUGCCGAGAAGUGAAACGAAAUUCGCCUGGGGAUGAGCCCGCGUCUGAUUAGCUAGUUGGUGUGGUAAUGGCUCACCAAGGCAUCGAUCAGUAGCUGGUCUGAGAGGAUGAUCAGCCACACUGGGACUGAGACACGGCCCAGACUCCUACGGGAGGCAGCAGUGGGGAAUUUUCCGCAAUGGGCGCAAGCCUGACGGAGCAACGCCGCGUGAGGGACGAAGGCCUCUGGGCUGUAAACCUCUUUUCUCAAGGAAGAAGACAUGACGGUACUUGAGGAAUAAGCCACGGCUAAUUCCGUGCCAGCAGCCGCGGUAAUACGGGAGUGGCAAGCGUUAUCCGGAAUUAUUGGGCGUAAGCGUCCGCAGGCGGCCUUGAAAGUCUGUUGUUAAAGCGUGGAGCUCAACUCCAUUUCAGCAAUGGAAACUACAAGGCUAGAGUGUGGUAGGGGCAGAGGGAAUUCCCGGUGUAGCGGUGUGCCCAAAUGCGUAGAUAUCGGGAAGAACACCAGUGGCGAAGGCGCUCUGCUGGGCCAUAACUGACGCUCAUGGACGAAAGCCAGGGGAGCGAAAGGGAUUAGAUACCCCUGUAGUCCUGGCCGUAAACGAUGAACACUAGGUGUCGGGAGAAUUAACCCUUUCGGUGUCGUAGCCAACGCGUUAAGUGUUCCGCCUGGGGAGUACGCACGCAAGUGUGAAACUCAAAGGAAUUGACGGGGGCCCGCACAAGCGGUGGAGUAUGUGGUUUAAUUCGAUGCAACGCGAAGAACCUUACCAGGGUUUGACAUCCUGCGAAUCCCUUGGAAACUUGGGAGUGCCUUCGGGAGCGCAGUGACAGGUGGUGCAUGGCUGUCGUCAGCUCGUGUCGUGAGAUGUUGGGUUAAGUCCCGCAACGAGCGCAACCCACGUCUUUAGUUGCCAGCAUUCAGUUGGGCACUCUAGAGAGACCGCCGGUGAUAAACCGGAGGAAGGUGUGGAUGACGUCAAGUCAUCAUGCCCCUUACAUCCUGGGCUACACACGUACUACAAUGCUACGGACAAAGGGCAGCAAACUCGCGAGAGCUAGCAAAUCCCAUAAACCGUGGCUCAGUUCAGAUCGUAGGCUGCAACUCGCCUACGUGAAGGAGGAAUCGCUAGUAAUCGCAGGUCAGCAUACUGCGGUGAAUACGUUCCCGGGCCUUGUACACACCGCCCGUCACACCAUGGAAGUUGGCCAUGCCCGAAGUCGUUACUCCAACCCGCAAGGGAGGAGGACGCCGAAGGUGGGGCUGAUGACUGGGGUGAAGUCGGAACAAGAUA
rnacentral:rRNA from 1 species